UACGUAGGUGGCGAGCGUUGUCCGGAUUUACUGGGCGUAAAGAGCGCGCAGGCGGUCGUUCAAGUCGCGUGUGAAAGCCCCCGGCUCAACUGGGGAGGGUCACGCGAUACUGAUCGACUCGAAGGCAGGAGAGGGUAGUGGAAUUCCCGGUGUAGUGGUGAAAUGCGUAGAUAUCGGGAGGAACACCUGAGGCGAAGGCGGCUAUCUGGCGGUGCACUGACGCUGAUGCGCGAAAGCGUGGGGAGCAAACAGG
rnacentral:rRNA from 1 species